rnacentral:rRNA from 1 species
CCUACGGGCGGCAGCAGUAAGGAAUAUUGCGCAAUGGGGGCAACCCUGACGCAGCAACGCCGCGUGGGCGACGAAGGCCUUCGGGUUGUAAAGCCCUUUUCGGAGGGACGAGUAAGGACGGUACCUCCGGAACAAGUCUCGGCUAACUACGUGCCAGCAGCCGCGGUAAAACGUAGGAGGCAAGCGUUAUCCGGAUUCACUGGGCGUAAAGCGCGCGCAGGUGGCCUGUCAAGUCGGACGUGAAAUCUCCCGGCGCAACUGGGAGGGGCCGUUCGAUACUGGCGGGCUUGAGGGCAGAAGGGGAAGGCGGAAUUCCCGGUGUAGUGGUGGAAUGCGUAGAUAUCGGGAGGACCACCAGUGGCGAAGGCGGCUCUCGGAAUUGCGACUGACGCU